CCUGGUAGAAGAGAUUGCUCCUUAAAUAGGCUGUGCCUUUGUACUAUCUGUUCUAUGUUUCUUUCUAUCUAUAUUCCAUGUGUGUAACUGUGUACAUAAUCUGAUAAAUAAAUAUAUAAUCUAUCAUCGAAGAUCCUAUCAAUAAAUUGCAUCUCAUACACUGUAACAUAAUAUCUAGGAAAUGAUGCAACAAUUAAUCGAAUCUAAAUAACUUCAAUACCUUUAUUUAAAUUAAUACGAACAAUACACGACAUACCUGCAACUUGUGAUGUAAGAUGGCGGAUGUCAUUAAAAUAAAAACGUUUAUGACUUCAGUUUAUAAGGCGAUGCGUUCCUUUGGUAAACAGUAGUGUCUUACCUUACAGCUGCACCUCGUGUUUCAAAAUCCUAUCAUCCACAAUGACCGAAGUAAGGCGCAACAUGUCCAGGGCUGUCACUAUGUUGGUUCUGAUGAUGUGCUGGUUCAGCGCGAUGGCUUUCAGGAAUAGCAGCCGCAUCGCCAGCAGGAAACCCAGGAUCAACUACUCCGUAGACUUUGAUUAAAGAUAUUGAUUUAUGAGUGGUUCAGUUUUGAUCAAUAGGUCUGGUUGGUUUGAUUGAUUAAAAUGUUUUUGUAACUGAUCAA
rnacentral:lncRNA from 1 species